rnacentral:sRNA from 1 species
CAUCGUCAAGCUUAACCGGCCAGGGAUUCAUUGCACUGCCCCAUUCAGCCCCACUAAUCUAUCUAGGCACCCCUAAAUUCCGGGGAAUAGAUUUAAAAACUAUCCGAUUAGGACACCCCGGGCCUAGCGAGGACCUAGGUGAGACGAGGCCUAGGCGCCCUUAAUAGGUGGUUAGUGCAAGCAAGGCCGUGACGGCCAAUUGGUAGGCUGGAAUGCCAAGAUUGGCAGCCGGAAGGUCGGGGGAUUUAACUAGAAUUGGGUAGCUCUGGCGUUAUUCUUAGUGAGGAUCCCACUUAGGUAGGCUAGUUAAGGAACCCGGGUGGGCGGCGGUGCUCUAGGGGGAAUGAUAACCCCUAGAGUGGCCCGAGAGGACAGAGGCGGCGGCCGGUUAUAUAGGGUGUUAAAAUAUGUAUAUAGCUCAAGGUGUAAACUGC